AGUUCAACUGUUUCCCAGGAACAAAGAGAAGAAUUUGUUCUUUGGGGAAGCUGGACCAAAGCCAGUGCAUGCUUCUUCUCAGACGGGUGUGCUUCUUCAAUCCAGUAGACUCUCCUCAAGUGGGACUCUGAUGCAGAUCUGCUAAGUUUCAGGAGAAGUGGGAAAUAUCUAUUUUCAUUGGAAACUUCCAGAAUUUUAAAAUCAAGACAUUUAUUCUGCUCCAGGAUCAGAAUCUUCCUUUUGAAACCAGGCUGUCCUAAAACAAGUCCCAGGACCCGAGGGGCAAACUUUUCCAGCCCAACUCUACAGGAUUUCAGGUGGAUUCGUGGCCUUAGGAUUAUGGCACCUCAGAAACCAAUGCUGGCUACCUGACAACCUCCAUUGUUACCUGUGGAGCUGUUCUUUUAAGAUUUAUUUUAUGGUCUAAAUUGAUUUGGCUUCCAUAACAAUACCCUCAAUGAAUCUGAUCUCACUGGUAAAAUGGAACUUUUUUCUUUAAAAGCAGUUUUCAAGAAGCGGUUUAAAAUGUCUGGUAUUGUUACUUUAUGAAGUACCUAUUCUUCAACAAUAGAGCAAAUAACAAGUACAUCUCCUCAGGCUGCACUCUCCUUUGUGGUACUUUGAGAAUCCCUCAACUCACUUUUUCUGUCAAUUAACCUCUCAUUUAAAUUUCUCUCUCGAAUAAAAACUUUUCUGACCUCCUUCCAUUAACCUCUUCUUCAUAAUACCAUUCACCAUCUGUUACUUUUCUCUAGAUACAUUUAAUUUCUUGGAAGGAAUUUUCAUGACAGUAAUGGGGCAGAAGAGAA